GCGAAGGUGGCGGAAUUGGUAGACGCGCUAGCUUCAGGUGUUAGUGUUCUUACGGACGUGGGGGUUCAAGUCCACCCUUUCGCAUCA
rnacentral:tRNA from 1 species